AUUGAACGCUGGCGGCAGGCCUAACACAUGCAAGUCGAACGAGUGGCGGACGGGUGAGUAAUGUCUGGGAAACUGCCCGAUGGAGGGGGAUAACUACUGGAAACGGUAGCUAAUACCGCAUACCAUCGGAUGUGCCCAGAUGGGAUUAGCUAGUAGGGGGGGUAAAGGCUCACCUAGGCGACGAUCCCUAGCUGGUCUGAGAGGAUGACCAGCCACACUGGAACUGAGACACGGUCCAGACUCCGACGGGAGGCAGCAGUGGGGAAGAUGGCACAAUGGGCGCAAGCCUGAUGCAGCCAUGCCGCGUGAAUGAAGAAGGCUUUCGGGUCGUAAAGUACUUUAAUCGGGGAGGCGGUACCCACAGAAAAAGCACCGGCUAACUCCGUGCCAGCAGCCGCGGUAAUUC
rnacentral:rRNA from 1 species